AGGACUUGUAAUAAAUUUUGAUAACGACCCGACCAACCAACAACAAUAUAUAACUCGUUGGACCUAAACUAGGUGUCCAAAAUGAUUAAGCCUAAUUUUUAUUAGUAGCGUAUAUAUAACUCGUUGGACCUAAACUAGGUGUCCAAAAUGAUUAAGCCUAAUUUUUAUCAGUAGCGUAUAUAUAACUCGUUGGACCUAACUAGGUGUCCAAAUGAUUAAGCCUAAUUUUUAUUAGUAGCGUAUAAGCCUCAUAUAUUCUAAUCAGA
rnacentral:lncRNA from 1 species